ACACGUGGACAACCUGCCUCAAGGCUGGGGAUAACAUUUCGGAAACAGAUGCUAAUACCGAAUAAAACUUAGUGUCGCAUGACACAAAGUUAAGAGGCGCUUCGGCGUCACCUAGAGAUGGAUCCGCGGUGCAUUAGUUAGUUGGUGGGGUAAAGGCCUACCAAGACAAUGACGCAUAGCCGAGUUGAGAGACUGAUCGGCCACAUUGGGACUGAGACACGGCCCAAACUCCUACGGGAGGCUGCAGUAGGGAAUCUUCCACAAUGGGCGAAAGCCUGAUGGAGCAACGCCGCGUGUGUGAUGAAGGCUUUCGGGUCGUAAAGCACUGUUGUAUGGGAAGAACAGCUAGAAUAGGAAAUGAUUUUAGUUUGACGGUACCAUACCAGAAAGGGACGGCUAAAUACGUGCCAGCAGCCGCGGUAAUACGUAUGUCCCGAGCGUUAUCCGGAUUUAUUGGGCGUAAAGCGAGCGCAGACGGUUUAUUAAGUCUGAUGUGAAAGCCCGGAGCUCAACUCCGGAAUGGCAUUGGAAACUGGUUAACUUGAGUGCAGUAGAGGUAAGUGGAACUCCAUGUGUAGCGGUGGAAUGCGUAGAUAUAUGGAAGAACACCAGUGGCGAAGGCGGCUUACUGGACUGCAACUGACGUUGAGGCUCGAAAGUGUGGGUAGCAAACAGGAUUAGAUACCCUGGUAGU
rnacentral:rRNA from 1 species